rnacentral:rRNA from 1 species
AUCNGGCUUACCAUGCAAGUCGAGGGGCAGCAUGGUCUUAGCUUGCUAAGGCCGAUGGCGACCGGCGCACGGGUGAGUAACACGUAUCCAACCUGCCGUCUACUCUUGGACAGCCUUCUGAAAGGAAGAUUAAUACAAGAUGGCAUCAUGAGUCCGCAUGUUCACAUGAUUAAAGGUAUUCCGGUAGACGAUGGGGAUGCGUUCCAUUAGAUAGUAGGCGGGGUAACGGCCCACCUAGUCUUCGAUGGAUAGGGGUUCUGAGAGGAAGGUCCCCCACAUUGGAACUGAGACACGGUCCAAACUCCUACGGGAGGCAGCAGUGAGGAAUAUUGGUCAAUGGGCGAGAGCCUGAACCAGCCAAGUAGCGUGAAGGAUGACUGCCCUAUGGGUUGUAAACUUCUUUUAUAAAGGAAUAAAGUCGGGUAUGNAUACCCGUUUGCAUGUNCUUUAUGAAUAAGGAUCGGCUAACUCCGUGCCAGCAGCCGCGGUAAUACGGAGGAUCCGAGCGUUAUCCGAAUUUAUUGGGUUUAAAGGGAGCGUAGAUGGAUGUUUAAGUCAGUUGUGAAAGUUUGCGGCUCAACCGUAAAAUUGCAGUUGAUACUGGAUAUCUUGAGUGCAGUUGAGGCAGGCGGAAUUCGUGGUGUAGCGGUGAAAUGCUUAGAUAUCACGAAGAACUCCGAUUGCGAAGGCAGCCUGCUAAGCUGCAACUGACAUUGAGGCUCGAAAGUGUGGGUAUCAAACAGGAUUAGAUACCCUGGUAGUCCACACGGUAAACGAUGAAUACUCGCUGUUUGCGAUAUACGGCAAGCGGCCAAGCGAAAGCGUUAAGUAUUCCACCUGGGGAGUACGCCGGCAACGGUGAAACUCAAAGGAAUUGACGGGGGCCCGCACAAGCGGAGGAACAUGUGGUUUAAUUCGAUGAUACGCGAGGAACCUUACCCGGGCUUAAAUUGCAGAUGAAUUACGGUGAAAGCCGUAAGCCGCAAGGCAUCUGUGAAGGUGCUGCAUGGUUGUCGUCAGCUCGUGCCGUGAGGUGUCGGCUUAAGUGCCAUAACGAGCGCAACCCUUGUUGUCAGUUACUAACAGGUUCCGCUGAGGACUCUGACAAGACUGCCAUCGUAAGAUGUGAGGAAGGUGGGGAUGACGUCAAAUCAGCACGGCCCUUACGUCCGGGGCUACACACGUGUUACAAUGGGGGGUACAGAGGGCCGCUACCACGCGAGUGGAUGCCAAUCCCAAAAACCUCUCUCAGUUCGGACUGGAGUCUGCAACCCGACUCCACGAAGCUGGAUUCGCUAGUAAUCGCGCAUCAGCCACGGCGCGGUGAAUACGUUCCCGGGCCUUGUACACACCGCCCGUCAAGCCAUGGGAGCCGGGGGUACCUGAAGUGCGUAACCGCGAGAGCGCCCNGGNAAUUNC